GAAAUGCGAUAAGUAAUGUGAAUUGCAGAAUUCAGUGAAUCAUCGAAUCUUUGAACGCACAUUGCGCCCCCUGGUAUUCCGGGGGGCAUGCCUGUUCGAGCGUCAUUUCACCACUCAAGCCUCGAUUGGUAUUGGGCGACGCGGUCCGCCGCGCGCCUCAAAUCGACCGGCUGGGUCUUCCGUCCCCUCAGCGUUGUGGAAACUAUUCGCUAAAGGGUGCCGCGGGAGGUCACGCCGCAAAACAACCCCAUUUCUAAGGUUGACCUCGGAUCAGGUAGGGAUACCCGCUGAACUUAAGC
rnacentral:misc_RNA from 1 species